UACGUAGGGGGCGAGCGUUAUCCGGAUUCACUGGGUGUAAAGGGAGCGUAGACGGCCAUGCAAGCCAGGGGUGAAAGCCCGGGGCCCAACCCCGGGACUGCCCUUGGAACUGCAUGGCUGGAGUGCGGGAGGGGCAGGCGGAAUUCCUGGUGUAGCGGUGAAAUGCGUAGAUAUCAGGAGGAACACCAGUGGCGAAGGCGGCCUACUGGGCUCUAACUGACGCUGAGGCACGAAAGCGUGGGUAGCAAACAGG
rnacentral:rRNA from 1 species